UUUGAAGCACAAUGCAGGGCCUCCAUCACAUCUGUCUCUCUCAUCACCUCGGGCGGUUGCUCUGUGAAUGUGGAGAGACAUUUUCUUGCUCCUGGAGGUCUCAUGAAAACUACGACGUUGUUACAGAAAUCUUCGUCGGAGUGUGGAGCACAAGAAUUUCAAAACUCAAACUAUGAAACGCAGAAUCCGGUUCAGUUGUACAAUGGUGAUGGUCCAGUUCAGAUCAGAAUCUUGGUGAUUAGAAAUUUAAAAUGCGCAGGAGAUUGCCAAUUCAAGGGAGCUCGUGUCACAGGGGGUUACUUACCCUCAAUGAUCAUCCAGGCUCAUGAUGCUGACAAAUGCGCUCGUCAUAAUCAAGGCUGUGAUGCGCCUGACAUUUGUCAUCAUACGCUAGGCGGAUUCAAAUGCAGCUCUUCACCAAAACCGACCUCUCGGGCUUUUGUCUCCACUUCCCCCCCUAUUCGGAUGACAACUGAUUCAAUAACAUUAACCCCGUGGUCUGCUACUUUUCGCACGUAUUUGACAAGCUACAGGUUCUCAAAACUGACCGCCAGCUCAACUAGGAGUGCCGUAUUGACAUAUCCAACGGAAGUCCCCCUCAUCACAGCGUUCACUCUACCCUCAGUGCAAGCAUCCGCUCUCGUGCCAAUACUAAUCGCCAUAUUUGCAGUGUUGAUCCUGCUGACGUGCUGCUGUGCUGUGAUAUCGUUCUAUUUGCUACGCUCGGGCAAGAUAUUACGAUACUCUACGUCAAACUUGGUUACAUACAUUCGAAGAGUUCACUGUCAAGGUGCUAGGCCCUCAGACAGGCCAGCCGCGAGCAAUUGGGAUGAUGGGAUGAGGCGCGAAUCGCAGCUGUCCAAUGUGUCUAUUCGUACAACAGAAGCGACUGAAGAGGCUGUAGCAUAUUCGGCAUCGGGCACCGCUGGUCCCGUGACAUCUCGUCGCCUUUCCACCAAAUACAGGUUUGAGGAUUCCUGCACCAGCGUGUCUAAAACAAUGGGAGCAACUGAAGACGUACAGACGUGCUCUACAACAUUUCAAAGUACUGCCAAGCAUGGAGAUGACGUUAGAGGUACGAGUACAAUGGAAGGGCAACAAGUGAAGCAUGAUAAAGUUUCGAUCGGCGGAAAGGCUGCACAGUCUCCAAACAAACCAGCCCACCUCAACAUCUCUCGUGUAAGUUUGCAGACGCGAAAUUCCACGGUGGCACACGCUUCGGCGGAGAAGAAUAAAAGCGAAGAUGCAGUGGUGGAUAUCUAUGCAAUGCCAAUGAAAAAGAAUCCGGCCCACGAAAUGGCAAUGGCUAAAAAGGAUGGCACAACUGCCCACACGGAAGAUGGACCAGCAAGUACGAUGGCAUCCACAAGUGAGAGUGCUGCGCUCCCAGAAUCUGAACUGCCAUCGAGGAGCACGCGCGUCCCUGUGCCUGCCGCCUCGACUACUCAAAGAGUAGAUCACCCAGAUGACGUCAUCUCCAGUCAGCCAAUUUACACAGCACCAGACAAGUUGCAGUUCGCGUGCAAGGAUGCGUCAGCGGGAGCAACUGGCCUAGGGUUAGGUCCACAGCCGGCGGGCACGGUUAUCUACGAUGAAGUCAUAUUAAAAGUGAACAUUGGUGGAAAUCCAAGUUCAGCUGACAACAUAAAUUCCACGCUAGAAGCCACAAUUUACGCGGGAGUGAAGAAACUAUCCAAAGCAAGGUCAGAGUAAAUCGGCCACCAUUUGACCUCUCUCUUCCAGUAGUUGGUAUGGUCCUACUACUCGCAUAAAGUGACCGUUAGAACAAUCUCCAUCUAGCUUUAAAAGUUCAGCCUUCAGCACGCAUAAUGCGGCUUGUUCGUAAAUUAGCAUCUUCCAUUUCUUGUUUGUGCCUUAGAGGAUUCACACAGGACGAAUUACAUUGUUGCUGAAUAUAGGACUGCCGUUCUUGUACCACCUGCAUUUUUUUUACUUCGUUUCUCCCCCCUUUUUCUCCCCCUCCCACCUCUAUGACCGCUAUGCAAACAAUUCCAAAGUACAGACUAGUCUAAUGCACGUUUUAACAAAGCAUACUGCGACCUAAUUUCUUCCUUUUCAGCCGCUAGAAUUGAAAAGCACACAAACAUUCUGACUUACUCUGUCUGCAAUCUGAAAUUUGCAUUCGCAUCUAUGUGUACUUAUGGAAUCUUGUCUGAUUGGCUGGUGUGUAAAACAUGCAUAUACUGUUCGUCUCUUUCCCUCAAACAAGUUAAUGAUACUGAAGUAGUAUGCUCCAUGGCAAAGGAUGGAACUGUAUGUGUUGUUCGCUGGCUGAUUCUAGAUGACAGUGUAUUUCCCAUUUAAUUUCCAAUAUGAUUGUAUUCGUAGGCGUAAACAUUUCAGCCUGAUAAAUGACAAUUGUUUUGCUUUGUGUCUGAUUCCAGGUGUAGACUAAGGCAAUGUGUUGUAACCUUCUUUUUUUCAAACCCAGCCUCUUAGCUCGUUCAUAAUGCGCCUUCCUGUCACGCAUCCAGUACUUUUCAUCCUUCAUUCGGAAUUCAUUUCACUGGCUUGCAUGUUCACUUCUUUCAAUUUAACACAGUUUCAAGGUCAGAAAAAUGUCAAAUUUCCGCUGAAGUUAGAA